GUUAACGUAACUGCGCGUACGACCGUCGAAUGGCAAAGAUAUUCAAGCUGAGAAUCGUUUUCAGAUGUUACAAACAGCUGUGUUGACUUUCAAGGAGAAACCAUUCGACAUGAUCUUACGUUUGAGCCGGGACCUUCGGUUUGCAGUUUCUGCACCUGCUAUAAUUCGAGGCUGAAGUGGUGCCAGUCGAUCGUAUGCAACCCGCCCGUAGUCAAUUACUUGAGGUUGGAACUGAAAGAAAGAGAAAGAUGGAGGAGGUCUUGCCUUUGAAUGCUGGACACUUCUAAAGCCCACAGUUCGCUGAAAUUGCCAGAGAAUUCAAUUAAAUGGCAAAUUAAACCAUUGAACUGAAUCUGUUUCCAAUCGUGAGCUUGGAGGUUCUACCCUUUGAAUUUUUAAACCAGUCACCCUUCUUUUGUACGUAUGGUAACGAAUAUAAUUCAUAAACUAAUGAAGUGUGUAAUUCAAUUGAAAGCUCUUUUCACUGAAUCCAGUUUAGACUAAGAAAAAUGAUAUAAUAACGAAAUUAUCAAUUUACAAUUUAUAGAGCGUAUACUUUAUUCGAAAGUGAAGUUUAUUACUGCAAAUAUUAGUUGGCUAUUUAUAGCCUGUUUGAAAAGGUGAUUUAAUUUCGAUUGAUUUUCGAUAAGUUUUUGUUGGUUUACUCAGGUUAAUUAAUCUCCAAUAAAAUAGAAAUACCAAUCCGGUAGUAUAAUUGCUUUCUUGCUUAUUACCUUUUUACUAAUUAGCGAUGCACGAUUCCAGACCAGUAAAUAUUUUUCCAUCGGGAGAAGUCAGGUCGAGAGAUGCAAGAUUUAUACGCUCGUUCUGUCAGUUAUCCCAGUGUCUGUUACGCGAUAGAAAAUGAACGAACUGAAUAAUAAAUGCAUUAUCGGCAUGAAGAUUGCUUGAUGUAGGCCACCGCUUUUUUUUCUAUCCUUCCGAUACCAUUUUUCUUUUUUUUUCUUCUUUUUUUUCUUUUUUUUUUUCUUUUUUUUUUUCUUUUUUUUUUUUUUUUUUUUUUUUUU